UACGUAGGGUGCGAGCGUUGUCCGGAAUUAUUGGGCGUAAAGAGCUCGUAGGCGGUCUGUCGCGUCGAUCGUGAAAACUUGGGGCUUAACCCUGAGCUUGCGGUCGAUACGGGCAUGACUGGAGUUCGGCAGGGGAGACUGGAAUUCCUGGUGUAGCGGUGAAAUGCGCAGAUAUCAGGAGGAACACCGGUGGCGAAGGCGGGUCACUGGCCCGGUACUGACGCUGAGGUGCGAAAGCGUGGGGAGCAAACAGG
rnacentral:rRNA from 1 species